AUUGAACGCUGGCGGCAGGCCUAACACUUGCAAGUCGAGCGAGCGGCGGACGGGUGAGUAAUGUAUGGGGACUGCCCGAUAGAGGGGGAUCACUACUGGAAACGGUGGCUAAUACCGCAUACUAUCGGAUAACCCAUAUGGGAUUAGCUAGUAGGUGGGGUAAAGGCUCACCUAGGCGACGAUCUCUAGCUGGUCGGAGAGGAUGAUCAGCCACACGGGGACUGGAAAACGGCCCAGAAUCCUACGGAGGCAGCAGUGGGGAAUAUUGCAAAAUGGGCGCAAGCCUGAAGCAGCCAUGCCGCGGGUAUGAAGAAGGCCUUAAGGGUGUAAAGUACUGUCAGCGGGGAGGAGGUGCGCGCAGAAGAAGCACAGGCUAACUCCGUGCCAGCAGCAGCGGUAAUAC
rnacentral:rRNA from 1 species